rnacentral:rRNA from 1 species
GACGAACGCUGGCGGCGUGCUUAACACAUGCAAGUCGAACGGAAAGGCCCUGCUUUUGUGGGGGGCUCGAGUGGCGAACGGGUGAGUAACACGUGAGUAACCUGCCCUUGACUUUGGGAUAACUUCAGGAAACUGGGGCUAAUACCGGAUAGGAGCUCCUGCUGCAUGGUGGGGGUUGGAAAGUUUCGGCGGUUGGGGAUGGACUCGCGGCUUAUCAGCUUGUUGGUGGGGUAGUGGCUUACCAGGGCUUUGACGGGUAGCCGGCCUGAGAGGGUGACCGGCCACAUUGCGACUGAGAUACGGCCCAGACUCCUACGGGAGGCAGCAGUGGAGAAUAUGGCACAAUAGGCGGGAGCGUGAUGCAGCAACGCCGCGUGCGGGAAGACGGCCUGCGGGUUGUAAACCGCUUUCGCCUGAGACGAAGCGUGAGUGACGGUAAUGGGUAAAGAAGCACCGGCUAACUACGUG